rnacentral:rRNA from 1 species
UCCUACGGGGGGCAGCAGUGAGGAAUAUUGGUCAAUGGGCGGGAGCCUGAACCAGCCAAGUCGCGUGAGGGAAGACGGUCCUAUGGAUUGUAAACCUCUUUAGGCGGGGAGCAAUGCCGGGCACGCGUGUCCGGAGGGAGAGUACCCGCAGAAUAAGCAUCGGCUAACUCCGUGCCAGCAGCCGCGGUAAUACGUAGGUGGCAAGCGUUAUCCGGAAUUACUGGGUGUAAAGGGUGUGUAGGCGGGGGUGCAAGUC